UACGUAGGGUGCAAGCGUUAAUCGGAAUUACUGGGCGUAAAGCGUGCGCAGGCGGUGAUGUAAGACAGUUGUGAAAUCCCCGGGCUCAACCUGGGAACUGCAUUUGUGACUGUAGAGCUGGAGUACGGCAGAGGGGGAUGGAAUUCCGCGUGUAGCAGUGAAAUGCGUAGAUAUGCGGAGGAACACCGAUGGCGAAGGCAGCCCCCUGGGCUAACACUGACGCUCAGGCACGAAAGCGUGGGGAGCAAACAGG
rnacentral:rRNA from 1 species